rnacentral:rRNA from 1 species
GACGAACCGUGCGAACGUUAUUCGGAAUCACUGGGCUUAAAGGGCGCGUAGGCGGGUUCUCAAGUCAGGGGUGAAAUCCCGCGGCUCAACCGUGGAAGUGCCUUUGAUACUGGGGACCUCGAGGGAGGUAGGGGCGUGCGGAACUUCCGGUGGAGCGGUGAAAUGCGUAGAUAUCAGGAGGAACACCAAUGGCGAAGGCAGCUCGCUGGAACGGUACUGACGCUGAGGCGCGAAAGCGUGGGGAGCAAACAGG